UUCCACAUAUCGAGAGUAAGCAUCAAUUGCAUCAUCGCCACUUCCUCCUCCAAUCACUUGCUUCCUCACCCGAUCUUCCACCAUCGUCUGCCGCUGCCGCUGCCGCCUCACUGAUGUAGCAGAAGGGAAACACAAGAAGAUGGAUUGUAAUGUGCCCCAGUCCAUAGCUUCACUGUGGGAAUUCUGCAUGGUUGUUUGGUGGAAUUGUCUGUCCACCUACAAUGCCUACAGGUGAUGAAGUUUAAGCAAAACCCUCCUGUUGAGUUUUGAGCAUCUUUGGGCUUGAAUUUGGAGUUAACUGAGCUCCCUAUUGUGUUGCUCAUCUCAAGCAUGGACAGAGGGGUUGCAAGCACUGGUUUGGUUAGCAUGUAUGGGAUGUUGCUGCAACAGGAGUUCAUCAUUUCUGGCCAUGCCAAGUAUGUCCUGUAGCUGCUGUUGAUGUAUCUGCAUGUGAGAAUUUUUGAAGCAGCUCUUAGGCCAAGGUACCUGAGCAAGCUUUUGUUCCUAAGAUGUAAAGGAUUUGAAUUCCAUGUAGGCUUUUGAGUGACUUGAUUCCUCUUCUAAGUAUCUCCAAUUACUUUUUA